UACGGGGGGGGCAAGCGUUGUUCGGAAUUACUGGGCGUAAAGGGCUCGUAGGCGGCCAACUAAGUCGGACGUGAAAUCCCCAGGCUCAACCUGGGAACUGCGUCCGAUACUGGAUGGCUUGAAUUCGGGAGAGGGAUGCAGAAUUCCAGGUGUAGCGGUGAAAUGCGUAGAUAUCGUGGAGGAAUACCGGUGGCGAAGGCGGCAUCCUGGACCGACAUUGACGCUGAGGAGCGAAAGCUAGGGGAGCAAACGGG
rnacentral:rRNA from 1 species